rnacentral:lncRNA from 1 species
GUUUGGUCCCCAGUACUGAGAAAUCCAGCAGUGAGAGCCAAGAAACCCCACAGACUGAAACCACUUUAAAAGAGAAAAGACAGAAAGGACAAGAAAUAGUGCUCAGAUCUGCAGUGGAGGACCUGACCUUACACCAGGGAGAUUCAGCAGGUUCAGGAGGGAGACGCAAGGGUUUACGACUUCAAUAUGGGAAUCUGGUGAUGGAGGGAUGGAAUUCGAUCUGUUGAUGUUAUUCACCUCCAUUC